rnacentral:lncRNA from 1 species
GCCGGGCGAUACUGCUAGUAUAUAUAUAUAUAUAUUCUUUUACUCUUUUACACUUCUUCAGUCAUUUGAUUGCGGUCGUCUUUAAUCGAACAAAUCGACCCCAGAACUUAUUCUUUGUAAGCAUAGUACUUGUCCUAUCGGACUCUUUUCCCAAACCGCUGAGUUACGGAGACGUAAACACACCAGCAUCGGUUAUCAAGUGAUGUUGAAGUGGAAAAGUAGAGACACACAAACAUGACGGAUUUCUUUCAGUUCCCGCCUACCAAAUUUACUUACAAGGCUUUGGUCAGCCCGAGGCUAUAGUAGAAGACAUUUGCCCAAGUUGCCACGCAGUGGGACACAGCCCGAAGCCUUACAUAUAUAUAUAACUAGAUUGCAGCCGAAUCUGUCAAUCAGCUCUAAAUCAUCUGCAAGCUCCGGCUCUUGUUGGUCAUCCUCAACGGAGCAGUGAGACGGCCAACACAACCAAGCACCGGAGCAAGAUAAAGACUCCACCGAAGGAGUUUAUUGGUCUUUGACUACUCGUUACAAGAACGCAAGUCUUCUGCUACAGCCCCUGAUCGACCAAUGACCUGUGAGUGAACGUGCUAGACGGAAAUUGUGUGGAAAUAUAUACACACAUAUGUAUAUAUGUGUGUGUGUUUGUCCUCCCCAUAUCACUUGACAACCGAUGUCAAUUUGUUUACCUCUUAGCGGUUUGGCAAAAGUGGUUCGGCAAAUGAGGCCGAUAGCUUAAUGGCCUAUGAUUACCCGCCCCAAGAACAGGGCAUGUGACUUACUUAUCGACAAAUUACAUGAUAUCAUCGGAGCCUACCUGUAGAACCAGGAACCAGUUUUUGCUAGGAGUAGAGAGCUGUCUCCCAGCCUGCUUAAUACUAGAAAUAUGCUUAAAUAGUAGAGCCUACCCUACCCGCUAGUUUCCUAGCUUGUGACUAAAGAGUAUCCCUAAACAGAAGACCAAUAAAGAAGAUAUGCUGCAAUUCAACAUAUGCAACAUGUUAUUCUCGACACGUUUUUAGCUUUUCAUUUCUGGGGCUGUUUUUCCCUCUCUCUCCUUCUGUUUUCUCUCCUCGUUCCUCUCUGUAGAAGAACAUAAGUUCGAAACGUCAAAGACUCUUCCAUUCCCAAGAGUCAAACUAUUACACCUUCUUUGUUGUUCCCUCACCUCUCUCUCUCUCUCUCUCUCUCUCUCUCUCUCUCUCUCCCUCUCCCUAUCUCUCUCUCUCUCUCUAUCUAUCUAUCUACCUAUCUAACUAUCUACCUAUCUAUCUAUCUAUCUAUCUAUCUCUUGUUUAUUUGGAGUUUUUGGUACAUUUUUGGUAAUUUUGAAGGAAAUAUCAGCUCGCUUGUUCGUUUGCCCUGCUGUAGAUAGACUACCCCAAUGCUCUUCAACCUGUUCGACAUAACUCCAAACACAGGCGUAAGAUGCCUUUUUGUACAUCAUCCUCAUCGUCAUAAUCAUCAACAUCAUCUGCAACACCACUACUUAAUUAAACUGAUGAAGAUGACAUCUAUGUGAUGACAGGGUUUAAUCCAGGAUCUUAUUUUUGAGUUUGAAAUCUCCCUGAAGUUUGCCUUUCCCCUUUCAUCAUUGUGAAUCGCCGUUGCGUAGCGUUGUGGGAUUGAUAAAACCCCACGGCAAUCAAUGGUAUUUUACUUGGUGUUGUGACUAAUGUGAAAUCGCAUGACUCAGUGGUUAGAGCGUCGAGCUUAUGAUCGUGAGGUUGUGAGUUCGAAUCCCGGACCGGGCUGCGUGCUGUGUUCUUGAGCAAGACACUUUAUUUUACGUUGCUCUAGUUCACUCAGCUGUAGAAAUGAGUUGCGACGUCACAGGUGCCUUGCCUUUCCCUUGGAUAACACUGGUGGCGUGGAGAGACCUGGGAGGGUAACUUUCUAGGUGCAAUCCCAUGGUCAGUCAUGACCGAAAGGGGUCUCAGCAGCAGUGUCAUUAAUACAAAAAAAUACAGUAGAAUGUCAGACAAAUAUGUUUUGUGUUAUUUAGUAUUGGCAGGUGAGGGCGUUUUUAGGAUUUAGUCAAAAAGAAACAAUUAUAAAUAUGAUAAAAUAGUAAUUAAUACAGGCGCAGUUAUGGCUGUAUGGUCAAGAAACUCAUUCUGCAACCUUGUAUUUUCCAGUUCAGUCCCACUAUGCGAAACCUUGGGCUCCCGUUCGACCAUAAACCUAGUGAGUGAAUUUGGUAGACGGAAAUUGUAUGAAAGACUGUUGUAUGUAUGUAUGUAUGUGUGUAUGGAUGGAUGGAUGGAUGGAUGGAUGGAUGGAUGGAUGGAUGGAUGGAUGGAUGGAUGGAUGUAUCUACCUAUCUAUCUCUUUUACUCUUUUACACUUUAACUUGUUUUAGUCAUUUGACUGCGGCCAUGCUGGAGCACCGCCUUUAGUCGAGCAAAUCGAUCCCAGGACUUAUUCUUUGUAAGCCUAGUACUAAUUCUAUCGGUCUCUCUUGCCGAACUGCUAAGUUACAGGGACGUAAAUACGCCACCAU